UCCAGGUCUGGGGCAUGAACCUGGCAUACAAUGUAGAUUUCUGUGUUUGUUGAACAACAGCUACAUUGUCUGCUGGGUUUCAGGCUACCUGGAA
rnacentral:miRNA from 1 species